AGUGAACGCUGGCGGUAGGCCUAACACAUGCAAGUCGAACGGCAGCACAGUAAGAGCUUGCUCUUACGGGUGGCGAGUGGCGGACGGGUGAGGAAUACAUCGGAAUCUACUUUUUCGUGGGGGAUAACGUAGGGAAACUUACGCUAAUACCGCAUACGACCUACGGGUGAAAGCAGGGGAUCUUCGGACCUUGCGCGAUUGAAUGAGCCGAUGUCGGAUUAGCUAGUUGGCGGGGUAAAGGCCCACCAAGGCGACGAUCCGUAGCUGGUCUGAGAGGAUGGUCAGCCACACUGGAACUGAGACACGGUCCAGACUCCUACGGGUGGCAGCAGUGGGGAAUAUUGGACAAUGGGCGCAAGCCUGAUCCAGCCAUACCGCGUGGGUGAAGAAGGCCUUCGGGUUGUAAAGCCCUUUUGUUGGGAAAGAAAAGCAGCAGGUUAAUACCCCGCUGUUCUGACGGUACCCAAAGAAUAAGCACCGGCUAACUUCGUG
rnacentral:rRNA from 1 species